GAUUCUCGUCAACUUUCACUUCAACAAAGAUUCUUUCAUCCAAACAAGCUUUCCUAAUACGUGAAACAUGACCAAGCAAAUUACUGUUGGAUUUCCCACAAAAUCUUUUGAGAAGAAUAGUGCCAAAACCAGUCAAUGUCUUAGUUUGCAACUUCCGUUCUUCCAUCUUGGAUACAUCAAACGAGGGAGGGGGUUGAAGGUCGUAUAAUGAUUGAAACUCAACAGCACUAACACAGACCAGAUAUUCAUUAGACACUGAGAGAAGGUCACCGAAAACCACCCAACUAGGCUUCUGAGCAAACACGAGCAAGGAAGAAGAUGGAUGCAGUUGAACAUGUUGUCCAGUUUGCGCUACUUCAUAACCAAGUUGAUUGCGUCCAGAAAACAUGGCUACAUUUUCAGAAAGUGAGGCCAGUAUAACCUUUUUCAUAUUCUUAUCAUGAACAGAAGGUGUAUGAGGAUCCCAACGCCAGUAACUUGGAACAACAAAGCCAUGUUCACGCUCUAGAAAAGAUUCUAACUCGAAAACUGUGUCUUGGCAUCUCCUCAUAGAUUUAGCAUUGAUG